rnacentral:lncRNA from 1 species
CAUAUUUUCAAAAGCAGCAGCAGAAGUCACUGAAAUUAAAAGAUCAUACAUGGGACUCCUUAUUCUCACUCAUCAUUUUUCUCUUUAAAAAGUCUUGGGACAUUCUCUGGCCUUUAUUCAUCACUGUCACCAUCCAUCCCUAGUUUCAGGAAUGUCAUAGGUCAUAAUUAAAAUAGCUACCACUUUCCCAUCCCUUUUGUGAUAUUUUUGCAAUGUAGGAUAAAACUAUGUCUCGUGCAUCCACAUAGGGGAAAUCUGAACUUCUCCCCCUGCCUUAAUGCCUCAGCUGCCACACAACAUUCUAGAAGCUGGAGGAAUAUUCUGAGGAAUUAUUACCACAAGUCUGGUUUUAUUCUCAUUCUCUUUGUGAAUGUGGCCCACUUUUGGAGACAGGGCACUUGGCUAGCAGGAGUUCUGGACUGACCUGGUUUGUUUAGUCUUGGUUUUUUAUGACAACAUCAUUACAUAGCACCAUGACAAUCAGUCCUGUGCUCAGGGCCCUGAAGGUGUGAGCAAUCCUGUGGUCUUUUCUGUUUCCUGCAGCUAGACCCAGAGAAAGAGAUCCUUGCUUCUUUUCAGUGUGCUCAGAGCUACAAAACCUUCUCCACUCCUUAAUCAACAAAAGCCUACUGGUACCCAUUGAAACAUCCACCAGCCCCAGUAAAGUUUAGCCCAGAGACUGGAUCAUGGACCAUCUGGCUAAUGCAGCCCUUCUCCAUGCACCAGCAGGUUACUAAGCUCACAACAGGUCACACACACACGUCACAAGUGUAGCCCACUAGUUGCUUCAGGACACUCUGUUUACCAGGAAAUCUUGUCCAGAAUAUGGAUGUUUUGGCAGGAUGGUCAGGAUGCUGGGGAGUGGGACAAUCUAAGGAAGCUGUUGGUCAGCCACAGGGACACAGUCAGUACAUGAACAAGAUGAAAAUGUGACCAGAGAAGAUCAAGAAAGCAACGAGUCUGCUGUACCUGGGCUGGCUAUUCUUGAUACAGCACAGCACAGUCCAGUGGAUAUCAAGCAUCCCAGAUAUCAUGAUCAGAAAAACCCUGAAACACUGAGGAAUACAUCAGUGAAAGGACCACAUUAUAGUUCAUUGCAAGGCAGGGGGUUUUUUGGGCUUUUGGGGUUUAGACUUGUUUUCUUUUCAAAAAUGACAGGAAAUACAAACAGGCUUUUGCAGAACUGCAUGAAAGUUACUCUUUAUCUUUCAUUAUAUUUGCUAGCAGAUAUGUUUUAUAAUAAACAGUAUAAGUGAUGCUGGGGAAAGAAUACAGAUGAACAUGAACCCAUGAAAGAAUGAUGCAAAUUAUUAUAAGGAGCUCUUACUGGAGACUGUUUUUUUUCAUUUUGCCUUCUUCUGCACAUAUGUGCACUUCCACUGAGAAAAAGGAUAUUCCAUCCCAAUUUUGCUAUGACAAGUAAACCUUAGUUUAUU